rnacentral:misc_RNA from 1 species
AACGCACAUUGCGCCCGCCAGUAUUCUGGCGGGCAUGCCUGUUCGAGCGUCAUUUCAACCAUCAAGCCCCCGGCUUGUGUUGGGGACCUGCGGCUGCCGCAGGCCCUGAAAACCAGUGGCGGGCUCGCUAGUCACUCCGAGCGUAGUAAUACAUCUCGCUCAGGGCGUGCUGCGGGUUCCGGCCGUUAAAAAGCCAUAUUUACCCAAGGUUGACCUCGGGUCAGGUAGGAAGACCCGCUGAACUUAA